GAUGAACGCUGGCGGCGUGCUUAACACAUGCAAGUCGAACGAUGAACCUCACUUGUGGGGGGAUUAGUGGCGAACGGGUGAGUAACACGUGAGUAACCUGCCCUUGACUCUGGGAUAAGCCUGGGAAACCGGGUCUAAUACUGGAUACGACCUUCCCGCGCAUGCGGUGUUGGUGGAAAGCUUUUGUGGUUUUGGAUGGACUCGCGGCCUAUCAGCUUGUUGGUGGGGUAAUGGCCUACCAAGGCGACGACGGGUAGCCGGCCUGAGAGGGUGACCGGCCACACUGGGACUGAGACACGGCCCAGACUCCUACGGGAGGCAGCAGUGGGGAAUAUUGCACAAUGGGCGCAAGCCUGAUGCAGCGACGCCGCGUGAGGGAUGAAGGCCCUCGGGUUGUAAACCUCUUUCAGUAGGGAAGAAGCCGGCCCUUUGGGUUGGUGACGGUACCUGCAGAAGAAGCGCCGGCUAACUACGUGCCAGCAGCCGCGGUAAUACGUAGGGCGCAAGCGUUAUCCGGAAUUAUUGGGCGUAAAGAGCUCGUAGGCGGUUUGUCGCGUCUGCCGUGAAAGUCCGGGGCUUAACUCCGGAUCUGCGGUGGGUACGGGCAGACUAGAGUGCAGUAGGGGAGACUGGAAUUCCUGGUGUAGCGGUGAAAUGCGCAGAUAUCAGGAGGAACACCGAUGGCGAAGGCAGGUCUCUGGGCUGUAACUGACGCUGAGGAGCGAAAGCAUGGGGAGCGAACAGGAUUAGAUACCCUGGUAGUCCAUGCCGUAAACGUUGGGCACUAGGUGUGGGGGACAUUCCACGUUUUCCGCGCCGUAGCUAACGCAUUAAGUGCCCCGCCUGGGGAGUACGGCCGCAAGGCUAAAACUCAAAGGAAUUGACGGGGGCCCGCACAAGCGGCGGAGCAUGCGGAUUAAUUCGAUGCGACGCGAAGAACCUUACCAAGGCUUGACAUGAACCGGAAUGAUGCAGAGAUGUGUCAGCCACUUGUGGCCGGUUUACAGGUGGUGCAUGGUUGUCGUCAGCUCGUGUCGUGAGAUGUUGGGUUAAGUCCCGCAACGAGCGCAACCCUCGUUCCAUGUUGCCAGCGGGUUAUGCCGGGGACUCAUGGGAGACUGCCGGGGUCAACUCGGAGGAAGGUGGGGACGACGUCAAAUCAUCAUGCCCCUUAUGUCUUGGGCUUCACGCAUGCUACAAUGGCCGGUACAAAGGGUUGCGAUACUGUGAGGUGGAGCUAAUCCCAAAAAGCCGGUCUCAGUUCGGAUUGAGGUCUGCAACUCGACCUCAUGAAGUUGGAGUCGCUAGUAAUCGCAGAUCAGCAACGCUGCGGUGAAUACGUUCCCGGGCCU
rnacentral:rRNA from 1 species